rnacentral:lncRNA from 10 species
GCUCGUCGGUGUGGGGUUCGAGGCGGUUGAGUGAGACGAGACGCGCCCCUCCCACGCGGGGAAGGGCGCCCGCCUGGUCCGGCGAGCGCACGUCCGGUGCUCCCCUCUGGCGGGUGCGCACGGGCCCUGUGAGCGAUCGCGGUGGGCUUGGGCUGGUGACGCGUGCGCCGGCCGGCCGCCGAGGGGCUACCGUUCUGCCUCCGACCGGUCGUGUGUGGGUUUACUCGGAGAAAUACUAGGCUUUAGAAUUUCACCAUAUGAAUUUUGGGAGAGAGGAGCACAGUUCAGCCCAUAACUAACACACGUGAUGAAGAAGACAUGCCAACAGAGGGUUAAUUCCAGAUAAAAUGAAAUGUUCCAAACAACGGAAUGAAGUUGAUAAUAGUGAGACCUUGUUGGUACAAGACUAUGUAACAUAACCUGCGCUUCUCAACAAAGAAUUGCUUUUCUGACUUCUGCACUCAAUAGCAAGACAAAUCUCUCCUCUGCCUUCUCCUUAUCAGACUACUCAACAUGAAGGCAAUAAGAAUGAAGACCUCUAUGUAUAAUAAUUGACUUCCACUUAAUAAAUAAGGUUACUUGGUACACUGGUCGACAAAAC